GACGUAGGGCGCGAGCGUUGUCCGGAUUUAUUGGGCGUAAAGAGCUCGUAGGCGGCUUGUCGCGUCGACUGUGAAAUCCCGCGGCUCAACUGCGGGUCUGCAGUCGAUACGGGCAGGCUAGAGUUCGGUAGGGGAGACUGGAAUUCCUGGUGUAGCGGUGAAAUGCGCAGAUAUCAGGAGGAACACCGGUGGCGAAGGCGGCCUUCUGGACAGUGACUGACGCUGAGACGCGAAAGCGUGGGGAGCGAACAGG
rnacentral:rRNA from 1 species